GAUGAACGCUAGCGGCAGGCCUAAUACAUGCAAGUCGGACGGGAUUUGGGAGCUUGCUCCUAAUGAGAGUGGCGCACGGGUGCGUAACACGUAUGUAACCUACCUUAAUCAGGGGGAUAGCCUCUCGAAAGAGAGAUUAACACCGCAUAAUAUAUUUUUAUGGCAUCGUAGAAAUAUCAAAUAUUUAUAGGAUUAAGAUGGGCAUGCGGAACAUUAGCUAGUUGGUAAGGUAACGUCUUACCAAGGCUACGAUGUUUAGGGGAUCUGAGAGGAUGACCCCCCACACUGGUACUGAGACACGGACCAGACUCCUACGGGAGGCAGCAGUAAGGAAUAUUGGUCAAUGGGCGCAAGCCUGAACCAGCCAUGCCGCGUGCAGGAAGACGGCCCUAUGGGUUGUAAACUGCUUUUGUACCGGAAUAAACCCUUUUACGUGUAAGAGGCUGAAUGUACGGUAAGAAUAAGGAUCGGCUAACUCCGUGCCAGCAGCCGCGGUAA
rnacentral:rRNA from 1 species